UGGAACACAAUUUUUUUUUCUGGCUGGCCAAGGGGCAACAACUUUCUGGCGGCACUCACUCGCUCUCUCAUGCCGCACGCUCCACGCUGUUGUUGCUCUGGCUGCUGCUGUUGCGGUUCACUUGGCGGCAAAUUGCUGUUGCAUGGCGAUGAUGUUGUUGUCGCAGUCAAAGUCGGAGUCGAACUCGAAGUCGAACUCGAAGUCGGCGUCGGUGAAACAACAAAGCGAAAAUCUCUGCAUUGGGGCACACGCCAUUCCCAACAUCAAAGCCAGCCGACAGCACACAUUUUCUGAGGUUGCCCGUCGCCACCGUUGGGGCAGCAGCAGCAGCAGCAGCAGCAGCAGCAGCAGCAGCAGCCAGAGAUCUUCUUGGUCUUCCUCUCUGCUGCUCAUUUGUGUGUGUGUGUGUUUGAGGCACAUUGUGCGACGCGCGUGUUAAGUGGACUGUGAAUAUGAAAGGAAAGUUCGUUCGGAGAGUACGGAGCCAGAGCCGCGUUUGCCGCCAAAUAAAUGCGAGAUCCUCAGCUCGCAGCUCGCAGCUCGCAGCUCUCAACUCCUGCUCGUGGUCCUGUCUCCUGGCAGUUCUUAAUCAAGAAACAACGUAUCACGGUAGCACUUUAAACGUAAACGUAAAUUGCUUUUAACAUGGUUAUUACAAUCUUAACGUUUCUCUGCGCCACAAAGCACUUCAGGCAGCGGGGCAACCUGUUGUCGACAUUGUUAGUGUUGCUGCUGCAGAAGAGGCAGCAAUAGAAGUGAGUUCCCCGCGCCCGUGCCCGUCCCUGUGUUCUUUUGCUUUUGUUUGUGCGUCCGUUAGGUCUGGUCUCUCUCUCUCUCGCUCUCUGGUGGUUUGGCAGAUUGUUGUAAUUAUGAUUGCGCGAUUAUGAUUGCCUUGGAUUGAGUUAGUUGUCGGUGAAUUUGGCUUUAAUCGAAAUUGUUUUCGAGUCUGUCUCUCCACCCCCCCCGCUCCGUGCUAAUUAGUCGAGCAACGGCACGGCAAACAUCAAAUAAAAGGUAGAAAUUCGUUUUGGGCUGGGGGACUUAGCAUGGGAUUAAGGGUGUCCUGGAUUAAGUGCCCAGCCCAGCGAUAAUCUUUGCAUUUUUAAAUAUUUCGCAAGAAGAGAACACGCAAAUCCGCUGACUUGUCACACCUUUGGCCUGCCCUGCAGGUAGGCAGGGAGGGAGGUCGGGAUGAGACCCGAAGGUAGCACCUUGUUCAGAUGGCUUGGCACAGAUGUUGAUCAAAGCAACAGCCGCAACGCUGAUUAAAGACAACAACAACAACAGCAGCAGCAGCAGCAGAAAGUGGGAAUUUGUCGCCUUUUGUGGCAGUUGCAUAGCCAUAACCCUGCCACUGCCACUGCGACUGCUUCAGCCUCUGCCGUCAAACGAAAGUAUUUAAUUUCAGGUAAAUUUGUAAGAUAAAUAAUUGUCGCUUACCUGGACCACGACCACGACUACGACCACGACGCGCUUCAAAGAACUUCAUUGUAUUUUUGCAUACAAAUGUUGCAGCCGCGUGUGUGUCCCUCUUCGAGGGGAGAGAACUUUGGCCAAAAGGACCUUCAAAAGGCACCGCGCUCACUGCGAUGGUGUAGAUUAUGGAACGACACAGCCCCGACCUCGACCAUUGUUAGGGCCGCCUGCUGCGCCUGGAUCACAACAGCGGGACACGGACGAUCAAUAAUGCCUCGGCUCAGCGAUGGGCAGCCCUGAAUUUAGGUGGAAACUGAACACUGAACAGUCGCUGAUCCCUCAAAUGUGUAACUGUCAAAACACAAGCCACACACGGCGAACCAUCAUAAUUCGGAGCAGAACGUGAACGGACACUCAACCGAUUGAUGCCUCACUCUAGGUCGGAGUCUGGGCUCUGGGCUCUGGGCUCUGGGCUCUGGUUCUGUGUGGGUCAUUUCCAGCCUUCACAGCUGGGGGCGCUGCAUGAUGACGAAUCGGAAAUGGAAAUGGAAAUGGAUUCUACGAUGCGGCGGCCAUAAUCAAUAAGCCGAGAAGUGUGAGACCCACUUACAACACACUCGACAGUGGGUGCAGAGCAGCUCAAAAGUGGAGCUGGGCAAGAAUUUAAAAAGGGAAAUGCAUAAAUUUGUAUUAUACUUUAUGGCAGAUAAAUUGCUUCAACUUUUUGUCUGUCUUGUUGUAUCUUUUCAACCCAGUUUCAAUACGUUCCAGCCCACUGUGCGUGUGUCGUAGCUCGUAGGCCCAUUGUUCCGUCUCCCACUGUGCACUCAUCAAAUUGUGGCAAGAUUUACGAGGCCCUUGAUUGAGUUUUCUUGUGCUUUGAAUACGGCAAACUUCACACAGGACCACCGAGCGGAUGGCAGACCUGUGGAGAUGCCUGAGCGUUGGGAGAUGCAAGAUUUUGGAAAACGUUUGCUUUCCUGGUAAGAGUUGCCCAUUGUGAUGAUGAUGCCAUGCCAUGCCAUGCCAUGCCAUGCCAUGCCGCUGCUGCCUCUGUUCCCUGCCGAUGAUUAAGAUCAUGAUCAAGAUGGGAAUGGGGAUGGAGGAUGGGGGAUGCCAGCCUCCAACUUCCAAGAUGCUCUUCUCCGUUGUUUAUAAGAUGACAAAUUGCGCUGAUAUCGUAACAUGUUGAUUGAGCGCACACGCGGCAACAUUGUUAACAGAGGAGGAAGGUGGGGACUGCGACUGCGACUGCGACUGGGGAGGGACUUCGGAAGAUCGCUUUCCAGUUCUCUCGGUUCUGGGCUGUGUGCCCCCGGGCCGCUUGCCGCAUGCCGCAUGCCGUUCUGUGCGCGUGCUCGGGUUUGGGUUUGGGUUUGGGUUCGGGAUCGAGUUGGAGUAGCCUCCCGCCGAAGUUGCAGUUGGGGCAGCCGAGCCCAAUGUGGCUGCAGCAUGAAAACUCAGAGAAAUAAAGAAAUAAAUAAAACAGGCAACGGCAUAAAGAUGCCGACAAAGUAAUAAACCAAUUAGGACAUCAAAGUGUUCAACCGACAGCAGCAGCAGCAGCAGCAGCAGCGCAGCAGCAGAGAGCGAGAGAGCGAGAGAGCGUAGAGGCAGCGGCAGACACCGCCAAAGAUCACAGAGAUUUGCGCUGAUCCGACCUGGAUUCUAAGCCACAAAACGCAACCUAUAUCGUCGCAUACUCCUACCCCCCCGGCUCCAGCCGGAGCCUUGUUCUCUUCCUUUUCCCAUUUUUACAUACAUUUUUCUUAGGCGGAAGCGGAGCCCGGGAAAACUCUUCACCAAAGAGUUGAACAAAGGAUUAAGUUGUGCUUAAAUAACAUUUAUUACGUUAUUUUGGGUGAAUAAAUUAUCGGUAUUGGGAGGAUUUAGUCGUGCAUUUUAUAGAUUUCUUCGAUUCCAGGCCAGCUUCAAGUUUCUUUUUGAUUUGGUUUGUCGCGUGGAUUGGCAAGUGAAUGAAGGACUUUGUGUGUAUUCCAAUCAAUUCUAUUUAAUUCUUGUACUUGUGCCCUGUCCGUGGGCUGAGUACUUCUGCCAAUUGAUGACCGUAAACAUGCUGCUCGCCCCGCCAUAAACUAAAAUGUUCCCCUUUUACCUACCGUUUGCCAACUGUUAAAAUCCGAGCAAAAAAUACCUAGAAAGGAAUUUACAUUUUCAAACGUUUACCUGUUUAGGUAGGUUACACUUUAUGGAAUCAUCUGCUUGCCAUUCGGCUCGGCUUUCCCCCCCCUGUCUGGCAAAUGCUGCUUUAGCCAUGCCCUGGACAUCGGGAGCUUCUCUCUCUCUCAUUGAAUCGUUUUUGGGGCAACCUGUCGUCCCUGAGCAAGCAGCAGAUUCCGCAGCUUCCCCUGCAGCGUUAUCAGUUCAAUCAUCGGCGCAUGUGCGCCUACACAGUGGGGCAGGACUGGGCUGGCUGGCAUUCAGCGGCAGAAGCGGCAUUCAUUAAGAAUUUAAAUCGCACAUAAUUAAGGCUCAAUAAAUAGCCGCCACAACUUCAAUAUGGGGCAUAUAUUAAUAACCGCGACUGCGCCAGAGCCCAAGACUGAGAUUGAGACGAAAAACUAAACAAAAACAAACGAUAGCCACGAAGACAAAGAGCGGCAUAAUUAAAUCAUAAGACUUUGAGCACAUCAUUAAAAUCGUUCAAAUCGCUACUCGACUUGAGAACUGGCUUGGGCUGCGCGGAAUCUUUGUUGGACGCAGCGAAAAUACUAAACGAUAUAAAUAAGCAUUUAUAACAUAUGUAGAUAUAAAUAUUCCUACUUAUUUAUGAACAUUUUUGCGUUUAUUAAUUCAAAUGGGAGAGACUUGAUUUGAUUGGAUCAUGGGAUCACGGUGGCAUCAAUGGAGAUGCGCUACGAAAGAUCAGAUGCCAGGGACUCCUCUCCCUGACAAGGGCUGAGCGGAGCUGGAGUUGCUGCUGCUGCUGCUGCUGCUGCCCCUGCCACUGCCACUGCCACGGCACGUGGUAGACGAGAUGCUGGCUUCAAAGGCGCCGGCCACGGCCCACCUAAACGUUCAAAUUGAAUACGAAACAAGUGGAAACGGUAUGCUGUAGGGUUGCGACUAUAAGAUACCCGCUCUUUGGGUAAUGGAAAGUGGUUUAAAAAGUAACCAAAAGUGUCACAAAUAGUUACUAUGUUCUAGAGGGUUUUGUGUCCAAGUUCUGUGUGUUGCAUGCUACAGGUGCACUGGGCAUUUAGCAUCAGCAUUCAGCAUCAGAAUAUAUGUAUAAUCAGGCUGGGCCAGCCUGCGGAGGCGAUGUCCAUAAAACUGGUUGCAAACGCACAUAAACCAUUUAAGCCGAAAAGAAACCGGCAAACUCUAACUCUAACGAUGCUCCAACCCCAUGCGAGUACGAAGCGGAGCCAGCACUUUGAAUGGCAUUUUGUUUGAGUUUUGUUGAAGAAAUCAAUUUGGUUUUCCGACUUCGGACUUGGAAUCGAAAUUGGAAUUUCAAAGAGGCCGCAUUUCAUUUCACAAAGUCAAAACAGUUAAUUUAUAUCAUGUCGCGACUACUGGUCUUACUGAUUUUGCAUUUUCGACAGAGCUCCGGCUGCCGUCUUUCGAAAUUGAAAUAUGAAAAUGAAAUCAAUUUGGGGCCAGAAACCUGAUUAGCUAGCGCCCCCCAGCCACAGCCACAGCGACAGCCACAGCCACUGCAAGCGGAAUUGGAUUUGGAUUUAAAAUUGAAGAUUGAAAUCAAGAUUGAAAUCGAGCGGAGUGGCUGGGGGGUAUACGAAAAUCAAGAGAUCGCAAAUUAGUCACAUUAUAGAUGGACGGACGGACAAUGGAUUACUGCGUAACUGAGUAGCCGCCACAGGACAGGCAAAGGGACAGGCACCGACACUGACUGUCAGCAGGUGCACUGCAUUGCACCUACAUGCACGCACACACACACGUAGUUGGACACCGACAAAGGUGCCGCUGAGCCUGGGCUAAUUUCAAAUUACACACUUCAUUUGUCCGGGACGAGGAAGGAGCAGGGGACGGGGGCAUGGGGACAUGUGUUCGGUUCACUUGCGGCAGCGUGGCUAAGCCGCUUUUGAAGCCACCAACCACAAUUGACAAGCGUGCCCCUCCAAUGCAUUGCUCUGCCCUGAUCCUGCACAUCAAAGUCGCCUCGCCGACCGCCCGCACCUUCGCUCUCUCAGUCAGUCAGUCAGUCAGUCAGUCAGUCAGUCCAGUCACUUGCCUAACGGUCGCUGUCGUAAUGUGCGUGCAAGAUGGAUUUUCGGUGCUCCGUGGGUGUGGCUUAUUUUAAAGCAAUUAAAUCCACAGUGAAGCGUGUCUUCUUCGGCUGCCAUCGACAUCUCUCUGAUGUACGAGGACACUUUGGACUAUUGUCAGUCCGCCUUUCAUCUCGGCGGCAAACAGAUCAUUUGAGAUAAGGAUAUCCCAGCCAUAGAAUUGAUUGGUUGCACCGCAAGAGACGCUCACAAAACGAACCAAACUAUGAUUGAAAUUUAACGGCUGCAAGUUAUAACAGGAAUAACAGCAAGGAAGGUACAAUAAAAACUUUGAAAUGGUUAAAUGCAUUUUUAGUGCAUUCUUUCCGCAAGGAUUUCAAUAAAGCUGCCCGACCAAAGCAACAAAUAAAUACAAUAAAAUUGUAGCUUAAUAGGAGUCGAUUUUAUGGGCAAUGGGCAAGAUAUAAAGGUAUCUCAAGGUAUCAGCCACGAUUCUGUUAAAGUAGAUCCUUAAAAUUCCAUUCCAACUCCAUUAAAUGCUUUUUGUUCUUUUACUUCUACAGGUCCUGCCGGAGAUGGAGGCCCCAAGAGCCAAGCGUGGUUUCUUUCCACAAAUCUGGCCUAUGAGGUGGCUGCCAGCUAUGUCAAUGCCCAAUGGCUGCAUCUGGGCUGCUGCUUGGUACUGCUGCUGGAUAACGAUUGCUUUCAUUUCAGCCAGCAGCGGAAGCUGAGCCACCAGAUGAUCCUAUACUGCACCACACUGGCCUCGGUACCGACAUGGAUGGAUGCGCCAUUUUAUGGCGAAUAAACGCCCUAGAGCUCUGAGGAGGUGCAUGUCCUGGCCCACAAUGCCCAAGUAUUGUCAGCUAGCAGAUUGAGCUGCAAGAAGCAAGCUUUCAUCUGGCAACUCGAACUUCAGUGUCGAUAUUGUGAUAAGCUCUGCGCUGAAAAGGUAAGGCAUACACUCGUAUUGACUCUGCCAGCAGCUCUCCUUAGGGCGCUGAAGGAUGAAGAUUGUACGCGACUGUUGCAGCUCUCCAAUGCCCGCAGAAGAUCAAUGAAGGCUGGUGGCUCGUUAUUGGUGACCAUUUGCUUGCUCUCCAUCAAACGCCUACGUUCCAGCAGAAGGCCAAGCAGUCAAUCUGGAGUUUGUGGCCCCCAUGAGCGAUUCCCAUUUGGGCUGCGAUCGGGAGUACAAUGUCUCCAUCGAUGUGGCGGGUUUGCAGGCUAAGAUUGACAUAAAUCACAUACAUAUGUACAUGCAUGUAAACAUACAUAACUACCCAUUUUGUAUACAAAUGUAAUGAGACGAAUUUGUGUGUGUUCAAAAUAAAUAGCAUACUUUCGGGGUGCUGCAAAGUAAUAUUAAAA
rnacentral:lncRNA from 1 species